AUUGAACGCUGGCGGCAGGCCUAACACAUGCAAGUCGAACGGUAACAGGAAGAAGCUUGCUUCUUUGCUGACGAGUGGCGGACGGGUGAGUAAUGUCUGGGAAACUGCCUGAUGGAAGGGGAUAACUACUGGAAACGGUAGCUAAUACCGCAUAACGUCGCAAGACCAAAAAGGGGGACCUUCGGGCCUCUUGCCAUCGGAUGUGCCCAGAUGGGAUUAGCUAGUAGGUGGGGUAACGGCUCACCUAGGCGACGAUCCCUAGCUGGUCUGAGAGGAUGACCAGCCACACUGGAACUGAGACACGGUCCAGACUCCUACGGGAGGCAGCAGUGGGGAAUAUUGCACAAUGGGCGCAAGCCUGAUGCAGCCAUGCCGCGUGUAUGAAGAAGGCCUUCGGGUUGUAAAGUACUUUCAGCGGGGAGGAAGGGAGUAAAGUUAAUACCUUUGCUCAUUGACGUUACCCGCAGAAGAAGCACCGGCUAACUCCGUG
rnacentral:rRNA from 1 species